rnacentral:rRNA from 1 species
AUGUCAUACCAGCCUGACAUUUCGUAUGUCAUGGGUGUGGUGAGCAGAUACAUGCAUGAACCAGGGAGUGGGCUUGAUAUUGUGCACAGAAUCCUAAGAUACUUGAAGGGUACUCCGGGUAAAAGGUUGUGGCUGGCAAAGAGUGGACAUCUUGAGGUGGAUGGUUGUAGUGACUCUAAUUGGGCCGUUGUCAAGACGAUAGAAGAUCACCUUCUGGCUACUGUGUGUUUGUGGAGGAUAUUUGAUGUCAUGGAGAAGCAAGAAACAGACAUUUGUGUCUAUAUCAAUAGCAGAAGCCGAGUAUAG